GAUGAACGCUAGCGACAGGCUUAACACAUGCAAGUCGAGGGGCAGCAUAGAAGUAGCAAUACUUUGGUGGCGACCGGCGCACGGGUGAGUAACGCGUAUGCAACCUACCUAUCAGAGGGGAAUAACCCGGCGAAAGUCGGACUAAUACCGCAUAAAACAGGGGCACCGCAUGGUGAUAUUUGUUAAAGAAAUUCGCUGCUAGAUGGGCAUGCGUUCCAUUAGGUAGUUGGUGAGGUAACGGCUCACCAAGCCGACGAUGGAUAGGGGAACUGAGAGGUUGGUCCCCCACACUGGUACUGAGACACGGACCAGACUCCUACGGGAGGCAGCAGUGAGGAAUAUUGGUCAAUGGGCGGGAGCCUGAACCAGCCAAGUCGCGUGAAGGAAGAAGGAUCUAUGGUUCGUAAACUUCUUUUGCAGGGGAAUAAAGUGCAGGACGUGUCCAGUUUUGUAUGUACCCUGAGAAUAAGGAUCGGCUAACUCCGUGCCAGCAGCCGCGGUAA
rnacentral:rRNA from 1 species